UACGUAGGUGACAAGCGUUAUCCGGAUUUACUGGGUGUAAAGGGCGUGUAGGCGGGCUUGCAAGUUGGAUGUGAAAUUCUCAGGCUUAACCUGAGAGGGUCAUCCAAAACUGCGAGUCUUGAGUACUGGAGAGGAUAGUGGAAUUCCUAGUGUAGCGGUAAAAUGCGUAGAUAUUAGGAGGAACACCAGUGGCGAAGGCGGCUAUCUGGACAGUAACUGACGCUGAGGCGCGAAAGCGUGGGGAGCAAACAGGAUUAGAUACCCCGGUA
rnacentral:rRNA from 1 species